UGCCAGCAGCCGCGGUAAUACGUAGGGGGUAAGCGUUGUUCGGAAUUACUGGGCGUAAAGCGCGCGUAGGCGGAUUGGAAAGUUGGGGGUGAAAUCCCGGGGCUCAACCCCGGAACUGCCUUCAAAACUCCCAGUCUAGAGUUCGAGAGAGGUGAGUGGAAUUCCGAGUGUAGAGGUGAAAUUCGUAGAUAUUCGGAAGAAAACCAGUGGCGAAGGCGGCGCACCGGCUCGAUACUGACGCUGAGGUGCGACAGUUUGGGGAGCAAACAGGAUUAGAUA
rnacentral:rRNA from 1 species